ACCAGAACUACCAGCUGCCUGCUAUCUUACUGCGGUCUGUGUGUUUAGUACCUUCCGUGCUGCAUGGGAGCUUCUGAUUCCUGGCACCCUGACAUGCGGUCCUGGAACAGCACCAACCCAUCCAGCUCCGUGAGCUGCGACCUUUCUGACUGCUUCCCUGACGAAAUGGAUUUGGAUGCCAGAACUGAAUCUAC